rnacentral:ncRNA from 1 species
AAGUUGUAGGAAAGGAGAGAAGGUUUGCAUUCCCCCUGACAGAUGGAAGAGGGUUCGGCAACAAGCACAUGGUUAAGACAGCACCACCGACUUCGUGCCAUCUGACCAACGUUCUUU